CUCUCUGAUCAUUCUACUGGUCCUGUUCUGCAAGAGGAACAAAGAUGAUGUAGCAGCUGAACCCAGAGAUGUUACGUAUGCUGACGUUAGAUUCACACAGGACCCAGAACCCAGGAGAAGGAGAGACUGAUCCAGUCUACUCUGCAGUGAAGACCUCCAACACCACAGUGACCCUGUUCAUCAGAACGUCAUGGUGGGUGGAAAAAGAUGCUCUCUUCAGCUGCGGUGAAUAACCACAACCCUGUCAGUCCAUCUCUUUACUUCUCUUGUCGCUUCU